CCAUUCUUGAAUUUGGGUUGCAAGUCAACAUGUUUUGCUUGUUGUCUUUGUCAUUGUAUUGACAUUAUUUUGUCGUUGUUAUGUGACCCGAUAGGUGUGUUAACAGAGCACUUAAACUAUGAAGGAUUGUAUCAUAAUACAUGUGUCAUGUUAGUACUUGUCAAUGCUUUGAUUAUUAAAUAGUCACUGAG